rnacentral:lncRNA from 10 species
AUCAAUAUAAGUGUCCACGCUGGGUGCUGGGAACAAAUUGCCUCCCUGAGUCGGACCAGCUGCCCGUGGAUCCUACGCUGCAGUCACACCAGACUCCUCAUGUUGUGGGAGGCCUGAACUUCUUUUCCUGAGGAAGGAACUCAGAUAAAAACAAAUGUAAGUUUCAAGCUUUAAGACCAGAAGGGGCAAUAUCUAUGUUUAUCCAAAAAAACUGUCUGUUUAUUGGGUAGGUCUCACCACUUUGUCUCCUGAAUGUCUUCCCGAGGAGACUCUGAUCUCCUUGAGGGCAGGGCAUGUGCCUUUCCUGUCUGGAAGGCACCUAGUAAAUGCCCAAUAAGCAUUGGUUGUUAUUGUGAAAGAGCAGUAACUGAUUCACAGCUGCUUCCAUAGCACUUCCUGGACUCCAGCACUCACUCCGGACCAGGCUCAAGUUUCUGGAUGGGUAGGAGGGCUGGCUGGGAACAAAAGAAAACAAAGGAAAGCUGAUUUGGUUCUUUGUUCUGUGUAGCCCUGUGCUAAGCUUCCCCGUCCUCCAGCAGCUUGCACAGACCCUGGUUCCAG